rnacentral:rRNA from 1 species
CUAUUCUAUUUUCCUCCGGGGGCGGCAGUGUGGAAUAUUGGACAAUGGGCGCAGGCCUGAUCCAGCCAUGCGGCAUGAGUGCUUAAGGCCUUAGGGUUGUAAAGCUCUUUUGUCCGGGACGAUAAGGCCGGUCCCCGGAAGAAAGAGCCCCGGCAAACUUCGUGCCAGCAGCCGGGGUAAUCCGAAGGGGGCAAGCUUUUCUCGGAAUCCCUGGGCGUAAAGGGCGCGUAGGCGGCCUUUUAAGUCGGGGGGGAAACCCCGGGGCUCAACCCCAGAAUUGCCUUUAAUACUGGUAGGCUUGAGACCAGAAGAGGACGGCGGAACUCCGGGUGUAGGGGUAAAAUUCGUAAAUAUUCGCAAGAACCCCGGUGGCGAAGGCGCCUUUCUGGCCCAUUUCUGCCGCUGAGGGGCAAAAGCGGGGGGGGCAAACAGGAUUAAACCCCCUGGUUGCCCCCGCCGAAACCGAUGAAUGCCAGCGUUGGUCUGCUGCAGGUCAGUGGCGCAGCUAACGCAUAAGCAUGCGCCUGGAGACUGCUGU